AGGGACUUUCAAGAUACAACAGUGGGACUUGGGCAGACACGAUUUCCUUGAAUCUGCUCCUGGUCUGGGAAUGGUUGUGACUGUUACAACUUACAAUGAUGAGGUAUUACUGUCAAAGUUAUAUGGCCCACAAGGAACAUUCUACUUCACUUCACAUUCACCUGGCGAACACAUCAUUUGCUUAGAGUCUAAUUCUACGAGGCUCGUGUCAUUUGGAGGGAGUAAGCUGCGGAUCCACUUAGAUAUUCGAGUUGGAGAACAUGACCUUGAUGCAGCCAUUGCUCAAGCAAAGGACAAAGUUAAUGAAGUUAGCUUCAAGCUUGAACAUCUAAUUGAGCAAAUGGAGCAAAUAGUCAAAGAACAAAACUAUCAAAGGGACCGUGAAGAAGAAUUUCGAAUGACCAGUGAAGAUACAAACAGCAAUGUUUUAUGGUGGGCCUUUGCACAAACACUAAUCUUUAUCUCAGUUGGAAUUUUCCAAAUAAAGUACCUUAAAGACUUCUUCAUAGCUAAGAAACUUGUUUAAAAAUAUUAAUAAAGGCAAAUAACUACCUUCUACCUUGCAUGUUUGAGUUAAUAUCAAAAUA